rnacentral:rRNA from 1 species
AACGAACGCUGGCGGCAGGCCUAAUACAUGCAAGUCGAACGGAUCCUUCGGGAUUAGUGGCGGACGGGUGAGUAACACGUGGGAACGUGCCCUUUGGUUCGGAACAACUCAGGGAAACUUGAGCUAAUACCGGAUAAGCCCUUCGGGGAAGGAUUAUCGCCAUUGGAGCGGCCCGCGUCUGAUUAGCUAGUUGGUGGGGUAAAGGACCUACCAAGGCGACGAUCAGUAGCUGGUCUGAGAGGAUGANCAGCCACACUGGGACUGAGACACGGCCCAGACUCCUACGGGAGGCAGCAGUAGGGAAUCUUGCGCAAUGGGCGAAAGCCUGACGCAGCCAUGCCGCGUGAAUGAUGAAGGUCUUAGGAUUGUAAAAUUCUUUCAGCGGGACGAUAAUGACGGUACCCGCAGAAGAAGCCCCGGCUAACUUCGUGCCAGCCGCCGCAGU